rnacentral:piRNA from 1 species
UAUUGGUAGGUCAAAUGAAGAUGUAGAUAGAU